rnacentral:rRNA from 1 species
CUACGUGCCAGCAGCCGCGGUAAUACGUAUGGGGCGAGCGUUGUCCGGAAUUAUUGGGCGUAAAGGGUACGUAGGCGGUUUUUUAAGUCAGGUGUGAAAGCGUGAGGCUUAACCUCAUUAAGCACUUGAAACUGGAAGACUUGAGUGAAGGAGAGGAAAGUGGAAUUCCUAGUGUAGCGGUGAAAUGCGUAGAUAUUAGGAGGAAUACCGGUGGCGAAGGCGACUUUCUGGACUUUUACUGACGCUCAGGUACGAAAGCAUGGGGAGCGAACAGGAUUAGAUACCCUGGUAGUCCACGCCGUAAACGAUGAAUGCUAGGUGUUGGGAGUCAAAUCUCGGUGCCGAAGUUAACACAUUAAGCAUUCCGCCUGGGGAGUACGGUGGCAACACUGAAACUCAAAGGAAUUGACGGGGGCCCGCACAAGCGGUGGAGCAUGUGGUUUAAUUCGAUGGUACGCGAGGAACCUUACCUGGGUUUGACAUCUAGUAGAAGGUCUUAGAGAUA